UCUUGGAAGUAUAUGCUGAUUCUUAUCACGAGGAGCACUUUUUUGAAAGCACUUUUAUAAAAGUGCUGCUGGUGGAAGAAGCUGCCUGUAUGAGG
ensembl:miRNA gga-mir-1643 gga-mir-1643